rnacentral:rRNA from 1 species
UACGUAGGGCGCAAGCGUUAUCCGGAAUUAUUGGGCGUAAAGAGCUCGUAGGCGGUUUGUCGCGUCUGCCGUGAAAGUCCCGGGGGCUCAACUCCGGAUCUGCGGUGGGUACGGGCAGACUAGAGUGAUGUAGGGGAGACUGGAAUUCCUGGUGUAGCGGUGAAAUGCGCAGAUAUCAGGAGGAACACCGGUGGCGAAGGCGGGUCUCUGGGCAGUAACUGACGCUGGAGGAGCGAAAGCGUGGGGAGCGAACAGG